rnacentral:rRNA from 1 species
UACAGAGGGGGCAAGCGUUGUUCGGAAUUACUGGGCGUAAAGGGCGCGUAGGCGGCUUUCUAAGUCGGACGUGAAAUCCCCGGGCUCAACCCGGGAACUGCGUCCGAUACUGGAAGGCUUGAAUCCGGGAGAGGGAUGCGGAAUUCCAGGUGUAGCGGUGAAAUGCGUAGAUAUCUGGAGGAACACCGGUGGCGAAGGCGGCAUCCUGGGCCGGUAUUGACGCUGAGGCGCGAAAGCAUGGGGAGCAAACAGG